rnacentral:rRNA from 1 species
GACAGAGGUGCCGAGCGUUAGGCGGAAUCACUGGGCUUAAAGCGUGUGUAGGCGGGUCGUUAAGUACCUUGUGAAAUCCCCCGGCUCAACCGGGGAACUGCUGGGUAUACUGGCGAUCUUGAGCGAUCUAGGGGCAGAUGGAACAAGUGGUGGAGCGGUGAAAUGCGUAGAUAUCGGGAGGAACACCAGUGGCGAAGGCGAUCACCUGGGGUUGUUCUGACGCUGAGGAGCGAAAGCUAGGGGAGCAAACGGG